CAGCAGCCACGGGAAUACGUAGGUGGCAAGCGUUGUCCGGAAUUAUUGGGCGUAAAGAGCUCGUAGGCGGUCUGUCGCGUCGGCUGUGAAAACCUGAGGCUCAACCUCGGGCCUGCAGUCGAUACGGGCAGACUAGAGUUCGGUAGGGGAGACUGGAAUUCCUGGUGUAGCGGUGGAAUGCGCAGAUAUCAGGAGGAACACCGGUGGCGAAGGCGGGUCUCUGGGCCGAAACUGACGCUGAGGAGCGAAAGCGUGGGGAGCGAACAGGAUUAGAGACCCCCGUAGUCCCUGUCUCUUAUAC
rnacentral:rRNA from 1 species